rnacentral:rRNA from 1 species
AUUGAACGCUGGCGGAAUGCUUUACACAUGCAAGUCGAACGGCAGCACGGGGCAACCUGGUGGCGAGUGGCGAACGGGUGAGUAAUACAUCGGAACGUGCCCAAUCGUGGGGGAUAACGUAGCGAAAGUUACGCUAAUACCGCGUACGAUCUACGGAUGAAAGCGGGGGAUCGCAAGACCUCGCGCGAAUGGAGCGGCCGAUGUCAGAUUAGGUAGUUGGUGGGGUAAAGGCUCACCAAGCCAACGAUCUGUAGCUGGUCUGAGAGGACGACCAGCCACACUGGAACUGAGACACGGUCCAGACUCCUACGGGAGGCAGCAGUGGGGAAUUUUGGACAAUGGGCGCAAGCCUGAUCCAGCCAUUCCGCGUGCAGGAUGAAGGCCUUCGGGUUGUAAACUGCUUUUGUACGGUAACGAAACGGCGAGCUCUAAUACAGUUUGCUAAUGACGGUACCGUAAGAAUAAGCACCGCUAACCACGUCGCCAGCAGCCGCGGUAAACACG